GCAUGGGUUUGGAUUUAUGGCAGGUUUGUCCCCCUGGGCCUCUCAUAGUGCCCCAUGCCAGAGCAAACUAAGACCUCGAACCAUUGCCUGGCCCUUGCCAGUGGGCUCUGGUCACUGAAGCAGGUCGCAUAGUG
ensembl:snoRNA